CACAGGAAAUUUUUCCCUUCCUCCAACCUCCUCUCCUUCCUACUCUUCAGCCUUCUUUUGUAGUUUGGUGGGACUAAGCAGCUGUGGUGAGAAGAAGAAAAGUAGACAAGAGUUAUUUCACCCAAAAAGAGCCAAUAUUUAUUGACCAACGAGGAAGAAUGGGAAUGAAAGGAAACAAAGAGAAGAAGCUGUGGAGGAAACAUGUGAAUAUGAUAGAGAAGGAGAAGGAAAUGAGGGAGAAAGAAAAGGCUUCGAAACAGCUCUGUCUUAGGUUGCCAGAGUCCCAUUCCUCAACAAGAACUGGAUUUUCACUAUUCAUAGCCCUAAGUAAACGAGACAACCAACGCCAAUUUUUCCAGUGUCCUGAGGGUCUGCUGCUAUAACCACACCACCUCUGGUAUUGACAAAUCCGGGUUCUUCAGUUGAGAAGAUAAUUCUGAGGAAUCUACAUAGGAAACAAAUUGUCCAGAAGCAUACCGGAUAAGACAGGGUUUCUAGAGAAGACAGAGAACCAGACUCGGGAGCCAUAUAACUAA
rnacentral:lncRNA from 1 species